AUACUUACCUGGACGGGGUCAAUGAGUGAUCAAUAAGACUCAUGGCCUAGGUUGGUGACCUCCAUUGCACUUUGGAGGGGUGCCUGCCUAAGGUCGACCCAAGUGGUUGAGUCUACGAUCAUAAUUUGUGAUAGCGGGGCUUGCGUUCGCGCGGCCCCUGC
rnacentral:snRNA from 1 species